rnacentral:rRNA from 1 species
AUUGAACGCUGGCGGCAUGCCUUACACAUGCAAGUCGAACGGCAGCACGGGUGCUUGCACCUGGUGGCGAGUGGCGAACGGGUGAGUAAUACAUCGGAACAUGUCCUGUAGUGGGGGAUAGCCCGGCGAAAGCCGGAUUAAUACCGCAUACGAUCCACGGAUGAAAGCGGGGGACCUUCGGGCCUCGCGCUAUAGGGUUGGCCGAUGGCUGAUUAGCUAGUUGGUGGGGUAAAGGCCUACCAAGGCGACGAUCAGUAGCUGGUCUGAGAGGACGACCAGCCACACUGGGACUGAGACACGGCCCAGACUCCUACGGGAGGCAGCAGUGGGGAAUUUUGAACAAUGGGCGAAAGCCUGAUCCAGCAAUGCCGCGUGUGUGAAGAAGGCCUUCGGGUUGUAAAGCACUUUUGUCCGGAAAGAAAUCCUUGACUCUAAUACAGUCGGGGGAUGACGGUACCGGAAGAAUAAGCACCGGCUAACUACGUG